rnacentral:rRNA from 1 species
AGUGAACGCUGGCGGUAGGCCUAACACAUGCAAGUCGAACGGCAGCACAGUAAGAGCUUGCUCUUACGGGUGGCGAGUGGCGGACGGGUGAGGAAUACAUCGGAAUCUACUUUUUCGUGGGGGAUAACGUAGGGAAACUUACGCUAAUACCGCAUACGACCUACGGGUGAAAGCAGGGGAUCUUCGGACCUUGCGCGAUUGAAUGAGCCGAUGUCGGAUUAGCUAGUUGGCGGGGUAAAGGCCCACCAAGGCGACGAUCCGUAGCUGGUCUGAGAGGAUGAUCAGCGACACGGGAACUGGGACACGGUCCAGACUCCUACGGGAGGCAGCAGAGGGGAAUAUUGGACAAUGGGCGCAAGCCUGAUCCAGCCAGACCGCGUGGGUGAAGAAGGCCUUCGGGUUGUAAAGCCCUUUUGUUGGGAAAGAAAAGCAGCAGGUUAAUACCCCGCGGUUCUGACGGUACCCAAAGAAUAAGCACCGGCUAACUUCGUG